CCGACUUUUUUCCUUCUCUUUCCCUCUCCUCCUCGCUCAUCCUCCUCCGCUUUCCUUUGUUCCCAGAGGCCGGCCCCAGUGUGGUUUCCGUUGUGCUUGGGAGCAGUCGCGUAGUCGCCAGUGUCCAGCUCCUUCUUUGUUCUUUGUUCCGAAAUCGGUCUUCUUCUUCUUCGGACCCCGAACGUCGCCUCACGCUUCCUGCCUUCGUCAAAGGGCCUCCUUUCGUUCGACACAUUGGGCGCAAGAGCGAGUUGCACGGCUGGCCCUCCGUUUCAAGUGACCUCCUUCAGCUGCGGAUGACCUGUGCUUAAUCAAGACCGCUUGAAUGGCAACUGAGAACUUGCUCCAAGCAAAAAGUGUUUUUAUGAAAUCGUGUUAGCUCGUGCGAAUUCACUGAAUAGGAACAAGUGUGUUUUCAUCGAGACAGCUCUCGUCCGGAAACUUGCAUUGUCGGCCUAAUAAAGUUUGACGUCAAGCCUAAUAAAACGUGAGGUUAAAACGGAGAAA
rnacentral:lncRNA from 1 species